AGCCACUGCGCCGCCGGCCCGCGGUAGGCUGGGGGCGGGACUCCCGCUGCAUCCAGCCCCUGGUCCCUGCCCCGCCCCCUGGAAUGCUGGGUGAAGGCUCCAAGCCGCGAGACCCCCGCCCCCUGCCCCGGGACCCACCCGGGCGGAGGCGUGGGCAGGGGCGCUGGGGGCCCAAAGAGAGGGUGCCGCGAUUGAUGGAUGAGCUGCUUCCAGCAUUCCUGCGCGUCUGCUAAUUGAGGCUGCAGUCAAGAUUUGGGGCGGUCUCUGUUGUGGGUGGGUGAUCUGGGAUCACGAUUUUCUCACUCUGUGCCCGGAAAUCAUGCCAUCCCUCGCCCAACGCUGUAUUUUAUAGGCUUCAACUCAAAAUUUUCCUUCAUGGCGCAAUGGAAAGCUUUGAAGACCGCCGUUCUGGGGCCGAAUAUGAAGGCAACUCGGAUUAAGAAGACGGCUGCUUUCCAACUGCGCUCCCGCCGGGCAGCCGGCUGAUUUGAGGAAGGGGUUGGGAUCCUUCCCUUGCUCUCUGGUUGUUCUUGGAGUUACAGCAGCCCCGCGGCAGCUCUGCCCCCUGGUGCACAUGUGAGGCAGCGCGCCCUUCAAUUCCAGACGCAUCAUCGCGCUGCUGCCAGCAAGGGGAAGAGGUUUUCUGUAUUUCACUCUGGUGGAAAAAAAAAAAAA